rnacentral:lncRNA from 1 species
UAUUUAUAGAAAAUGGGAACUAUUCGAUUUGCACUAAGUGGCAAAUUAUGGUAGGAGAGAAAAAGUUGAGCGAAAAAGAGUGAUGUGAUGUAACGUGAUGACAGUACAAAAAAUGAAGGAAGAACCUCCUAAUUGGUGUUGGCUCAUCGCCCAAGGCGGUAGUGGCACACUGCCCAAGGCAGCGCAUAGCGCCCAAGGGGUAGCGGCACACUACCCGAGGCAGCAACGCGCCUCCCCAUGUCAGCCGCGCGCUGUAAGCACGCUGACCUAUCCUACUGCUU